UACGUAGGGGGCAAGCGUUGUCCGGAUUUAUUGGGCGUAAAGCGCGUGUAGGCGGCCACACAGGUCCGCUGUGAAAACUCGAGGCUCAACCUCGAGCUGUCGGUGGAAACCGUGUGGCUAGAGUCCGGAAGAGGAGAGUGGAAUUCCCGGUGUAGCGGUGAAAUGCGCAGAUAUCGGGAAGAACACCCGUGGCGAAGGCGGCUCUCUGGGACGGUACUGACGCUGAGACGCGAAAGCGUGGGGAGCAAACAGG
rnacentral:rRNA from 1 species